AACGCAUAUUGCGCUCUUUGGUAUUCCGAAGAGCAUGCUUGUUUGAGUAUCAGUAAACACCUCAACCUCUCUUUUUUGAUAAAAAAAAGGGAGGGUGGACUUGAGCUAUCCCAACGACCUUCACCGGUAGGCGGGCGGCUUGAAAUGCAGGUGCAGCUGGACUUUUAUCUGAGCUAAAAACAUAUCUAUUUAGUCCUCGUCAAACAGGAUUAUUACUUUUGCUGCAGCUAACAUAAAGGAUAAUUGUCCUCUUUGCUGACUGAUGCAGGAUUUUACGACACUUUAUGUGUUGUUCAACUCGAUCUCAAAUCAAGUAAGACUACCCGCUGAACUUAA
rnacentral:misc_RNA from 1 species